rnacentral:tRNA from 1 species
GGCAUUACGCCGGAAGAACGGAUUACUCUGAUGAGGUAAAAUAUGGGCUAUCCCCCUGAUGCUU